rnacentral:rRNA from 1 species
AUUGAACGCUGGCGGAAUGCUUUACACAUGCAAGUCGAGCGGCAGCACGGGGGCAACCCUGCCGGCGAGCGGCGGACGGGUGAGUAAUGCCUGGGAAAUUGCCCAGUCGAGGGGGAUAACAGUUGGAAACGACUGCUAAUACCGCAUACGCCCUACGGGGAAAAGCAGGGGACCUUCGGGCCUUGCGCGAUUGGAUAUGCCCAGGUGGGAUUAGCUAGUUGGUGGGGUAAUGGCUCACCAAGGCGACGAUCCCUAGCUGGUCGGAGAGGAUGAUCAGCCACCCUGGAACUGAGACACGGUCCAGACUCCUACGGGAGGCAGCAGUGGGGAAUAUUGCACAAUGGGGGAAACCCUGAUGCAGCCAUGCCGCGUGUGUGAAGUAGGCCUUCGGGUUGUAAAGCACUUUCAGCGAGGAGGAAAGGUUGAUGCCUAAUACGUAUCAACUGUGACGUUACUCGCAGAAGAAGCACCGGCUAACUACGUGCCAGCCGCCGCCGUAAGAC